rnacentral:tRNA from 1 species
GGGGGCAUUCCAGAGCGGCCAAAUGGGCCAGACUGUAAAUCUGGUGGCUAAGCCUUCGCAGGUUCGAAUCCUGCUGCCCCCA